UCAGCGGCAGACGGGUGAGUAACACGUAGAUGACGUACCCUCAAGACGGGGAUAACGGAUGGAAACAUGCGCUAAUACCGGAUGACCUUACGAUGUCAGAAUGGUAAGGAAAGCUACGGCGCUUGAGGAGCGGUCUGCGGCCCAUCAGCUAGUUGGUAGGGUAAAGGCCUACCAAGGCGAAGACGGGUAGGGGGUGUGAGAGCACGGCCCCCCACAAUGGGACUGAGACACGGCCCAUACUCCUACGGGAGGCAGCAGCAGGGAAUAUUGCACAAUGGACGGAAGUCUGAUGCAGCGACGCCGCGUGAGUGAAGAAGGCCUUCGGGUUGUAAAACUCUUUUGAGGGGGAAGAGCGAGGACGGUACCCCUGGAAUAAGCGUCGGCUAACUACGUGCCAGCAGCCGCGGUAAGACGUAGGACGCGAGCGUUAUCCGGAUUUACUGGGCGUAAAGCGUCUGUAGGCGGAUGUGUAAGUUGGGCGUGAAAGCUCCGGGCUUAACCCGGAGAGGCCGUUCAAUACUGCAUAACUUGAGGGUGUCAGAGGGGAGCGGAAUUCCCGGUGUAGCGGUAAAAUGCGCAGAGAUCGGGAGGAACACCAGUGGCGGAGGCGGUUCCCUGGGGCACACCUGACGCUGAGAGACGAAAGCUAGGGGAGCGAACAGGAUUAGAGACCCUGGUAGUCCUAGCCCUAAACGAUGAAUGCUAGGUGUGGGAUCGAAUGUUUCCGUGCCGGAGCGAACGCGAUAAGCAUUCCGCCUGGGGAGUACGUCCGCAAGGUUAAAACUCAAACGAAUUGACGGGGCCCCGCACAAGCAGCGGAGCGUGUGGUUUAAUUCGAUGCUACACGAAGAACCUUACCUGGGUUUGACAUGUAGGUGGUAGUGAAUCGAAAGGUGAACGACCCUUCGGGGAGCCUACACAGGUGCUGCAUGGCUGUCGUCAGCUCGUGCCGUGAGGUGUCGGGUUAAGUCCCGUAACGAGCGCAACCCUUGCUCCUAGUCACAAGUGUCUAGGGGGACUGCCGGCGGAAAGCCGGAGGAAGGUGGGGAUGACGUCAAGGCAAAGUCCCGCAUUAUCUUCAGGGCUACACACACGCACCAAUGGCCGGUACAAAGGGCAGCGAAACCGCGAGGCGGAGCGAAUCCGAGAAAAGCCGAUCGUAGUUCGGAUAGCAGGCUGCAACCCGCCUGCUUGAAGCUGGAGUUGCUAGUAACCGCGCGUCAGCCAUAGCGCGGUGAUACGUUCCCGGGGCUUGUACACACCGCCCGUCACGUCAUGGGAGUCGGUAACGCCUGAAGCCGGUAGUCUAAC
rnacentral:rRNA from 1 species